GACUUACAGACAGCUUGUGUAACUCUUCAGCAGCGAAAUAUGAUGCCUCACCAGCAGCUUACACACGCUUUAGCUUUCUAGAUAGAUAGAUAGAUAGAUAGAUAGAUAGAUAGAUAGAAUAUUCUCAGCUUGCAAAAAUAUGUAAUUGUCAGCAACUACUAAUGAAAGCUCUUUUGUGCAUCUGAUGUGGUUGGAAAAGGUCAUAAAAAUGAAUGGGCGAAUGUAGAACCAGAUAAAAGGAAAUGUUCGACAGGAUCAGUUCGCGGGAAACUUCCGGUUGACCAGUGUGUGUGUGUGUGUGCAACGUGUGCAGCUUGAACUGGUGGGUGCACAAGAGCACGUCAUUUUCGCGGUAAUAUCUUGCAACUGGCAAUGCAACAACAACAGCGCUCUGCAGAAGAGUCGGAUUAUGAAAAUGUUUGUAAAAACAUGGCAACGUAGUUUUUUAACCUUUUUAGCACUGUGUUGGACCUCCUUUAAGGCGAUGGUUUGCAGUAAAGUGAGAGGGGGAAACUUUAAAAGGUAAGUAGCUUUUAUGAAACUAUAGCGUUUCCCUCCAUUUUUAUCUUUAUAACAAAAAAUAAUAUUGUACUUGCAGCCAUUACGAACAUACAGCAGUUCGGGUUAUUUAUAGUACUUUAUUGGUUAUUAUAAUCUAGUUUUAUAUUAGACUAAUUACAAGUAUUUAAUUUAUGUGCACCUCGUGUUUCUGCCAAAUCGACGUUAGGUAGCAUAUAAAUUACAAUUAUAUAUUGUUUAAUACAUCAGAAAUUCGGUCAGAACAAAUGUUAGUUUUUAGUAUAAUUACACUCAAACAACUAACGUUAAAUUAAUUUUGUUAACGAUUUAUUGUGUGAGGCGAUCUGGUACAGACUCCUCCUCCUGACGGUACAGACACGUCAGAGGGGGGCGUUCGUUCGCUGUUCGCGGGAAAUCCAAAUGCGUUCGUGUUGUGAUUCUAGACAAAACGAAACACCGAACUUUAAACAACAAAUAGGAAUGAAAUUCAGUAUGGAAAGCAGCAACACAGCUAUAAUAUUUGGAUUUUUAUGGUGGCUUCUAAGAAUAGCCGGGAGAUUCCUGUGCUGCUGUGGACAUGACAACUCUGAAGUUCAGCUCUCAGUUGAAGAAACGGCGCCAUUUCUUGAUGUAAGCACUGUACGACCAUGGGAUUAUGGUAAAGGUGGAGGUAUUAUCAGGACGGUUUAGACAGAACACUUGGAUCAAGAUUAAGAAAAGGCUUUAAGUUUAGCAUUUAUACGAUGGAGGAUUGGCACCCUUGAAAUCAUUGUUUCCCCAGCCAGAUCUGUUGCUAAUUCCCGAGAUGAGCUGAUGUCAAGGUGGGGCAGAGUUACUGACACUCUCACCCCAGUUUUAAAUAAGGAGCUCUGGACCUACAUUUGGUUUGGUCCAUGCAAAGCAGCAUUAGCAUAAUCUUACCUGUUUAAUGGUAAUAGGGAGCCCUGCCACAUGUUGUCGCUAAGAUUUAAUUUGACCCACAGUGUUGAGAUUUUUAAUGUCAAAUGAAUUCAGUCACUCAUUCAUUUCUUCUUCAUCAUAAGCAAGAAUAUCAGGGCUGACAUACAGCACACAAUUGCGAGUGUGAUAUUCCUUUAAUACCAAAGUUCAAUAACAGUAUUUUAAAGACCAGUACGUAAGAAUAUUUCUUCUUUCAAAGAAAAUAGUUCCAAAAGAAUCAAAAGCAUCAAGCUUCCAAAUUAUGCAGACAGAAAAAGUUGUUGAUCAGCGUCAUGGUACCAUCAAAGCAGGAUUGGAUUGGUUUGGUUUUGUCAACUCAAAAAUAAUUCUGUAACCCUGAGUUUGUUCAGCCACCAUCCUGGUACAAGCCCCUGGCGUCCCCCACCUUGAGUUUGUGGAGGAUUUGUGUAAAGGUGUGAAACGUUACUAAUGUCAAAUGUUAUUGUUUUUUAAAAUAAAAGUCAUAUUUAUGUUACAUGUAUGUAAGUUGUUUUUUAACUAUGUCUGCUGUAAAAGGGUGGUCUGUUCAGACUUGGUAUGAAAUGCUUGAAUGUAUACAUAAAUCUGGCAUAUUAGGUAAUCAUUGAAAACAAUGUUAAAAUAAUGUAAAUCAAUGUCUAAUGUAUCUUCCUCGCUGCCUUAGCAGUCUGAUAUAAUAAAUGCAUAAUUCAAAAACACCAUGUUUGUUGAGUUUGCCUCAUGUGAGAUCAUUCUGCUUAAAACCUGCUAAUUCAGCAUAAGAUGGAUGGCUGGUCUCAGAUGGUUUAAGAUUGUGUCUUGUCUAACUAAUCUCAGUUGAAGAGCUCAAGGUGUUCGCGCGAUAGAGCCUAUUUACACUAAGUGAAAAUAGCUAGAUUCUAUUUAUAUUAUGUUAAAAUAGCAGGAUAUUCUGCUAAUUACUUAUUGCAAAUAGUAGCAAUUAUCUGCACCUCAGCAUUGUAAUACAUUAUAAAACAGUAUGCAAUAAUAACUUCAAAUUAUUAAAUAGAUGCCACCUAAUUGGGACAAAAGCCCUAGACCUAUACCUGAUACUUUAUUUUUAACUUUUUGAUUAUUUCCUGAAUUUUUAUUAAAAAUAAAUGUUUUUCUGAUGUGAUUUAUAAUUUGAAAAGGGAGAAAAAAGUUGGCCAUAAGGCAGAUUGGAACUAGGGCCCUGCCCGGCCUGAGUCCGACAGAUCAUCAGAAUUCUUUGCCCGAGUUCGACUCGAGCCAGUCUUUUUUCCCCCACCUUCUCCCAAAGUAGCUUAUUCUACUGUUUUAGCUAAAAUAGCUCAGUUUUGUAUGUAAUGUCAAAGUGAUUAUUUCAGUUCUUUUUUUUUUUAUUAAGGUAAUUUAGAAAAACGUUUGGAGCACUUAUUUGUUCGUUAAAUGUAAGUUUUUUUUUUUUUUUUAAGUAACGACCAAGCGGCCAGCGGCAGACAGUGAGUUGAUCAUAUGUUUGACCAGUUUAGCUUUCUCAAAUCAUUACAACUUGCCUAGAAUAAAAUCUAUAGAUAUAAGACAGUUCAAGCAUAUCACAAUGUUAGUUUAAAUGUUUAACCUAUAACCUAUAAAUGUGCGCUAUUAGACUCAUAGUCUCGCGUAGCCAGACCUUCAGAAUCUAUGGCAGCUUUCACUGGCCAAGCCCCGCCCAUGAGGCCGUUUGACCGACAUGUCAAGCAACCAAUCACAGAUCGUUUAGUUCAUCGUCACGUUAUAAGGCGUGGAAAUGUCGCCACAAUAACAGACCGGUGUAUAAAACUCUUGGACAAAUUUUCAAUAUUCUAUGCCGCGAACUUUAAAUAUUUCACAUACUUUUGAAAAUCCAGCAUUUAGUUGAUCCUGAUAAGCGCUCGUGGUCACAGUUGUAAAUAGCAGUGUUUUUAGUGAUAUGCUAUUUACACUAAGUGCAAAUAGCUAGAUUCUAUUUAUAUCUGAUUCUUAUGACGCACUUUGUCUUUAUAGCACAUUCUAGCAUACUCCGUAAUUCCUCAAGGGGGCAGUAACAGUCCACAGUCAUUGAAUAGUCCAACACAUAUUAUUAUAGCUCUAUUACCUAAGAGUGUCUGAAUACAGAGCCCAUUGCAACACAAAAACACUUUUCAUGGAUUUUAUAAAAUCCGUAAAUAUGCAUUUCCCUCUAAAGGCGCGUCCAAUGAGGAGAUGGCGGGUCAUGAUCAUCAUCUUUGCACAUGGACUCAGAAAACACUAAUUUAUUAAUUAUUAAUUCAGUAUCUCCUUACUAUUUCCCCCUGACACAUUCAUGGUAAUUACUUUUGCUGGGGCUUUGCGGCAAGCUUUAGCCUGUUGCGUGCGUUUUUUGCACUGCACAUGAUCAAUUGAUUCACUGUUUGUCGUGGUAAUCAAAUCAAAACUCUUCCAAAAUGCAGCUUUUCCCGAAGCAUUGGUAACUUGGUAAGCCCGCACUGGGGCGAGCUCCGCAGCACACUUCUGAAGGCCCUUUCACACAGGAAGCGGAAAGCGCGCUGCGCUAUGAAACCCAUUCAUUAAAUGGCUUGCGCUCCCCAAGCUGCACCGAACAAAGCCGCGUCCUGUUUGAAAGGGCUGUCUGUAUUUCGCAGCAGACCGCAGGCGAGAAAAUCGUCGACUAAGGCAGCCUCCUGCCCCAAAAUAGCCCCGUCAAAACAGACAGCUCUCCAACCAUUGGUUCACAUAACAUUACACCCCACCAAUAGCUGAACUUUUCACACGCGAACUUCCUUCCCACAAAUCUCUCAAUGACUUUCACGCCUUCUUCUAAAAACCUCACAACAUCGAUCUCUUAUUUCACGAGCUGUAGUGCAUAUGGCACUAUCCGGGGAAAUUUGCAGCAUCCUGUCGCUUAUUUAAAGAUCGUAAGAAAUUACUAAAGUAAUAAUUCUGUGACCGACAUGGAAAUCAAUCACGAGG
ensembl:lncRNA